UACAGAGGUCCCAAGCGUUGUUCGGAUUCACUGGGCGUAGAGGGUGCGUAGGCGGUCGGGUAAGUCUGAUGUGAAAUCUCACAGCUUAACUGUGAAACUGCAUUGGAUACUAUCCGGCUUGAGGAAUGGAGGGGAGACUGGAAUACUUGGUGUAGCAGUGAAAUGCGUAGAUAUCAAGUGGAACACCAGUGGCGAAGGCGAGUCUCUGGACAUUUCCUGACGCUGAGGCACGAAAGCCAGGGGAGCAAACGGG
rnacentral:rRNA from 1 species